rnacentral:rRNA from 1 species
CCUACGGGAGGCAGCAGUGGGGAAUAUUGGACAAUGGGCGAAAGCCUGAUCCAGCCAUGCCGCGUGUGUGAAGAAGGCCUUCGGGUUGUAAAGCACUUUCAGUAGGGAGGAAGAGUUGAGUGUUAAUAGUACUCAGCUUUGACGUUACCUACAGAAGAAGCACCGGCUAACUCUGUGCCAGCAGCCGCGGUA